rnacentral:rRNA from 1 species
GAUGAACGCUGGCGGCGUGCCUAAUACAUGCGAGUCGAGCGAACUGACGAGGAGCUUGCUCCUCUGACGUUAGCGGCGGACGGGUGAGUAACACGUGGAUAACCUACCUAUAAGACUGGGAUAACUUCGGGAAACCGGAGCUAAUACCGGAUAAUAUAUUGAACCGCAUGGUUCAAUAGUGAAAGACGGUUUUGCUGUCACUUAUAGAUGGAUCCGCGCCGCAUUAGCUAGUUGGUAAGGUAACGGCUUACCAAGGCAACGAUGCGUAGCCGACCUGAGAGGGUGAUCGGCCACACUGGAACUGAGACACGGUCCAGACUCCUACGGGAGGCAGCAGUAGGGAAUCUUCCGCAAUGGGCGAAAGCCUGACGGAGCAACGCCGCGUGAGUGAUGAAGGUCUUCGGAUCGUAAAACUCUGUUAUUAGGGAAGAACAAAUGUGUAAGUAACUAUGCACGUCUUGACGGUACCUAAUCAGAAAGCCACGGCUAACUACGUG